GUUGAACGCUAGCGACAGGCUUAACACAUGCAAGUCGAGGGACCGGCGCACGGGUGAGUAACACGUAUCCAACCGGCCCUUUACUCGAGGAUAGCCUUUCGAAAGAAAUAAUAAUACCAGAUAUAAAGGAUAGGUAUGAGUUGCAUUAGGUUGUAGUUGAGGUAACGGCUCACCAAGCCUUCUAUGGAUAUGGGUUCUGAGAGGAAUGUCGACCACAUUGGAACCGAGACACGGUCCAAACUCCUACGGGAGGCAGCAGUGAGUAAUAUUGGUCACUGGGCGCUAGCCUUAAACCACCAAUUCUAGUGAAGGAUGAAGGCUUAUGGGUCGUAAACUUCUUUUAUAUAAGGAUAUGUAUUUUCUGAAUAAGCAUCGGCUAACUCCGUGCCAGCAGCCGCGGUAAUUC
rnacentral:rRNA from 1 species